ensembl:snRNA U6 U6 spliceosomal RNA
GUGCUCACUUCAGCAGCAUAUAUAAUAAAAUUGGAACAAAACAACAAAGAUUAGCAUGGCCCCUGAGCAAGGAUGAUACACAAAUUUGUGCAGCAUUCUAUAUUUUU